rnacentral:lncRNA from 10 species
GCGCCGUCCGCGGGAAUUUGAAGUGCCUGACUGGGUGGCCGGGAGACGGAGUCUCGGGGUCGCGUGCACCUGGGCGGCCAGGGAGGCUCCAGUGCCCGGGAGAAAGGCAAGAAAACUGAGGCACAGAGAGAUUGUCACACAGCCAGUUUCUUUCAAAAUGAAGAUUCACGCAGUGAUUGUAACUGUCUUGAUGAGCCAGGUUGUAGUUUACAAAGUUUUAUUCCAGAAGGAAAAAAGCCACUUCACCUAGAAAUUUUGCAAACAAAUCAACUUUUACUCUGUGAGUAAUCCAGGGCCUAUCAAGACUACAUUUUAGUUGACUGCAAGGCCUCUGAGGCACGGGAAUUCACAGCUGAGUUCUUGGAGAAGGUCCUUGAGCCAUCUGGAUGGCGGACAGUCUGGCACAUGAUGUGCUCAAGGUGCUGCUUGAGGCCACAGAUGUGGACAUUUCAGCCUUGAAGGCAGUGGUGCAGCUUGCUGAGCCAUACCUCUGUGAAUCUUGAGCGAGUACUUUCACCUUGGAGUGUGUGAAAGAGCUCCUCGAGCUGAAGGAACAUCAGUUGCCCCUGAAGGAGCUGGGUGGUGUUUGAUGAUUCUGGAGACAGCACUUGUAACUUGUAACUGAGCAUGUCAGCUAGGAAGGAUAGCCACUGAGCAAGCCUGUAAGGCUAUUGGUCUGCCCAUUCUGGUUUCUUCACCAAUGAGAAAACUGGGACCUGGGGAGUUUGCAGAAGCCAUCCAAGGGCACCUGCUUCUCACAGCACAGCAGCUUCCUGCAGCCCUCCCUCCUGUCUUGUUUCUCCCUUAAUUGAGAGGAGAGGCCAGAACCAGAUGCAGGCAGUUCCAACAGUAAUGAAUUGCUCUAAGGUGUGGAUCCAAGAACCGGUGACAAGGUCAGGAAAUUCCAUCCCGGGACACUGACCCAACUAAGAGACUGUGCAUGAUGGCUAAGUUCAGAGCUCUGAGGAGAUGGUAAAACUCAUUUGCAACGAAACAAGAUAUUUUCCAACUCUGCAGCCAGACUGUAGAAACCAUCCUCCUGGCUGUCUCACCAUCAGCGCCACCUCUCCGUGGGUCUGGAGUCUUGAGGAGCCAGGACUGGACUGGGAUGUAAGGUUGGGUCUUCCGAGCUGUAGAUGGGAGCAGGAAGAUGUAUCUCCAUUCACGAUCUCAGUACAAGGCUCAGCUAUCUCCCGGCAACUCGCCCAUCAUCUGUUUCUGAGUUCUUCUGACAUACAGGUUCUUUGGAGGCGGCAUCAAGAAAAUACAUUUGGACAAAUCCUUCAUCUCAAAUAUUUUCCCCUCAUGAAACCAAAGGCAUUGCUCCAAAGUCAUUUCCAUUAAUUAGACAUGCAUCUUGUAUGACUGAAGGAGAAUCUAGUCCACAAACUCUGGGUUAAUUUUCUCUUCUGACAUCUGUGUGUAGUGUUUCUCUGAGGAGCUGAAUUAUCUGCUCUCCAGUGCCUUCCUCUCGGUGUUUUUUGGCCAGGAGCAAGGAGACAGGCAGCUGCAUUCUGGGAGCAGCAAGCAAUUCUGAGAACUGGAGCUGCUUAGGUUCUUUCACUUCUGCUUCAAAGGAAUACGUUGAGUUUGCAGAGAAUGAAGGAGAGAAAGACUCCAAGUUCCAAGCAGGGUCUUGGGGUAGUCUCUGAGCAUCCCAAUGUACUUACUUCCUCCCCACAGCUUCCUCACUGGGCUCCCAGCCACCAGUAUUUGUCUCUUUAAUCCCCCAACACAGAGCUACUAGAUGGAUUUCUUUCUUUCUUUUUUGUUUCUUUCUUUCGAUCGAUUUCUCUUUCUUUCUUUCUUUCUCUUUCCUUCUUUCUUUUCUUUCCUUUUCUUUUCUUUCUUUCUUUUUCUUUCUUUUACAUCUUCCUUCCUUCCUUGCUUCCUUUCUCUCUCUUUUUCUUUCUUUUAUGGUUUUUUUUUUGUUGUUGUUGUUGUUGUUUUUAGACAGUCUUGCUCUGUCACCCAGGCUGGAGUGCAGUGGUGCAAUCUCGGCUCACUGAAGUCUCAACCUCCUAGGCUCAAACAGUCCUCCAACUUCAGCCUCCCAAGUAGCUGAGACUACAGAUCAGCAAUCUGGCUAAUUAAAAAAAAAUUUUUUUUAGAGAUGGGGUCUUACUAUGUUGCCCAGUCUGGUCUUGAACUCCUAGCCUCAAACAGUCAUCCUCCCUUAGCCUCCUAAAGUGCCGUGAUUAUAGGCGUGAGCCACCAUGCCCAGCUGGAUUUUUUCUUUUAACUGUAGUUUUAUCAUGUUCUUUUUGCUUAAAAUAAACUUUUCUGAAGUAAAUUCUGGACUCUGCAAGGUCUUUGUUCUAUUUGUUAUGGUGUUUGGGCAAGCCCUCUGUUUUCCUGUCCAGAGCAGGCCUGGGACCUUUGCCUUCGGUGGCUUUCCUGGGAUCCCCCACUACCCAGAAGAGCAGGGCUAUUGCCUCUGCUCGUCCCCAGAUCCCAACCCUCCAUGGGCCUGCCCUGGAUCCUUGCUGUUGGAGGGGAGGCACAACUUCACCUCUACCCUCAUAGGGAUUUUUGGCUGCACCUGC